rnacentral:rRNA from 1 species
AGAGGGGAUUAGUGACCCGGCUCUACCACCGGGAUGUUCAUAACCCUUUGUUGUCCGACUCUGUUGCCUCCGGGGCGACCCUGCCUUCGGGCGGGGGCUCCGGGUGGACACUUCAAACUCUUGCGUAACUUUGCAGUCUGAGUAAACUUAAUUAAUAAAUUAAAACUUUUAACAACGGAUCUCUUGGUUCUGGCAUCGAUGAAGAACGCAGCGAAAUGCGAUAAGUAAUGUGAAUUGCAGAAUUCAGUGAAUCAUCGAAUCUUUGAACGCACAUUGCGCCCCCUGGUAUUCCGGGGGGCAUGCCUGUUCGAGCGUCAUUUCACCACUCAAGCCUCGCUUGGUAUUGGGCAACGCGGUCCGCCGCGUGCCUCAAAUCGACCGGCUGGGUCUUCUGUCCCCUAAGCGUUGUGGAAACUAUUCGCUAAAGGGUGCUCGGGAGGCUACGCCGUAAAACAAACCCAUUUCUAAGGUUGACCUCGGAUCAGGUAGGGAUACCCGCUGAACUUAAGCAUAUCAAUAAGCGGAGGAA